AUCACCUACGGGAGGCAGCAGUUAGUACUCUUGGUCAAUGUUCUGAAGCCUGAACCAGCCAAGUCGCGUGAGGGAAUAAGGCCCUACGGGUCGUAAACCUCUUUUGCCGGGGAGCAAGGGCCGGGACGAGUCCCGGUCCGGAGAGUACCCGGAGAAAAAGCAUCGGCUAACUCCGUGCCAGCAGCCGCGGUAAUACGGAGGAUGCGAGCGUUAUCCGGAUUUAUUGGGUUUAAAGGGUGCGUAGGCGGGCUUUUAAGUCAGCGGUAAAAAUUCGGGGCUCAACCCCGUCCGGCUGUUGAAACUGG
rnacentral:rRNA from 1 species